rfam:Picoides pubescens contig31823, whole genome shotgun sequence.
GUGCUUGCUUUGGCAGCACAUACACUAAAAUUGGAAUGAUACAGAGAAGAUUAGCAUGGUCCCUGCACAAGGAUGACACACAAAUCCGUGAAGCAUUCCAUAUUUUU